CGCGCAGGCGGCCAUUUAAGUUGGAUGUGAAAGCCUACGGCUCAACCGUAGAACUGCAUCCAAAACUAUUUGGCUAGAGUGUGGGAGAGGAAGAUGGAAUUAGUUGUGUAGGGGUAAAAUCCGUAGAGAUAACUAGGAAUACCAAAAGCGAAGGCAAUCUUCUGGAACACUACUGACGCUGAGGCGCGAAAGCGUGGGGAGCAAACAGGAUUAGAUACCCUGGUAGUCC
rnacentral:rRNA from 1 species